GCUCCCUAGCGCCGCCGUCCAGUCUCCCGCUGGUUCCCGGGGAAGCCUCAGCCAACUGCGGCUGCCGCCCGAGCAGGGCUCAGGAAGGCGGGUGAAGCCGGCAAAGUGGGGCAGAUGCAACCAUUUCUGCCAGACCAUAAAUAUCCCGGGACGAGGAGGCGCUACGAAUUCCGUGCUCGGGCGGACCAACUGCCGGGGCCUGUAGCUCCCCACAGGAGCGGCGACGCCGGCCGCGGCUCUUCCCGGCAGAGGCCUAGAGGCGGCUACGACGCCCCUCCCCCAAGCGGACGCCGGGAGGCCACGGGAACUUUCUAUUAACAAGGAAACAAUGUCUGCUUCACUAUUUCUAAGGAUUCUUUGUGAUUCCUUGAGACUAUGUCUGGUUCUCCUUUAAGAGUUGAAGAAGAAUGGUCCUUACCGAGCCAUCCAUAUUUCUCCUGUUCUGCAUGUUUUCCAGGGGACAGUGUGAGAAAUGGGAUGCCCAUGAAAUUAUUGUAUCUCAUUCAUGUGCCAAACUGUAUCUCCAGAUGCUCAUUGAGAAUAGAAGCAGAAGAAUCAUUACCUUCAGUGACCAGUCCAGGAAUAAACAUAAAGAAAAACUUUAUAUGCUCUCAGUUUUUUUUAUUGG